rnacentral:ribozyme from 11 species
AAGGAAAGAAAGAAAGAAAAAAAGACACAGGGGGUAGUGCUGCACGAGUGUGUGAGCUGGUUGGGACAAUUUCGCUUUUAUUUGCAUGUUUUCGGUCCAAGAGAGUCUGUCUCUCUCCCCAUUUUCUUUCUUCCUUUCUGCAUAGCAUCUUAUGCGGGCAGGAAGGA